rnacentral:lncRNA from 1 species
ACAUGCCAUCUCCAGUAUGACAGAAUGGUAAUACAUCUAGAAAACAAUUUGAUUAUCAAGACAAUCAUAGCAUUUUAUUAAAGAGCCCAAAAAAAAGAGGUUCAAUUAUUCAAUAGCCAUGCGAUUUAUUACUUGCCAUCUGCAUGCACACAAAGUAGUGGAAGUUGGAUAACCAUAAAGGGAAUUAAAAGUAAGCAGAUGAAACUGCAUCAAAUAUCGACAAGACUUAAAAACUAGUUUUUUCAACAUAACACGCUGAUAAUUUUCCAUUUUGCUGGUUCAUUUUGGGAGUGGAGUCUUCACAAAUUCCCACGUGGUCUUAUGAAAAGCCUCAUUAGAACUUCUCGACCCCGCUACUUCAUUGAUGGGAACCGCAUCGGUAAUUUCUUUCAAAUCAUCUUUCGUAAGCUUCAAUUUAAGAGAAUCAAUAUUGGAGUGAAGAUUCUUAAUUUUAGUCGUACCUACAAAUGUUAGAAGAUUGAAAGAUAAAUCAAUAAAUCAUCAUUAAAACCGCUGCAAUUCAUGAGAUCAAUGUAAUAUCCACAUUUCAGUCACCAUCCAUUGCAUUACAGCAUCCGCAAAUGAUAACAAUUUUCCAGAGAAAGGCCUACAUAAACUAGUUAUGAAAUAAUCUCACUUCACGAUCCAGAUUUUCAAAUCUUUCUAUCUAGGAAUAAAUGGCCAAUAACUAUAGGGCAUAUAUGCAUAAGAUGAAUCUUGCUAAUUGAUGCUGAAUUAACAAAAAGCUAGCACAAGCAGAUACAUUUUUUUUUCUCUCGUUCUAACCCUUUCCUCUCCCUGGAAGAACAGGGUAAAAAGAAAAGGAAUAUCAUUUUUUUUAUGACCGUGGGUGUUCAAACUAGCUUACGCGCUCCUCGACUAAUCCCACGGGACCCUGAAGUUUAUAGCCGGAUACUCACCUCAGUAGCUUUGAGGGGAUUCGAACGGGUGACUAUUGGGGAGCAAAACCAAGACCUAACCACUAACAUAAAUAGAAAUCUAUGAAGAAAUGUUGGUUUUCAAACCCAUCCCUAAUAAGUGAGGGUACCUGAAAUUCAAGAGGUGCUUAGUGCUUAGCCGUGACAAGUAGUGGUGGUUAUUGGUCUAUUCUAUCACAAAUAAGGGUUCAACUUCUUGUUCAGCAAAUAAUAUGUUUAGAGCAAAGUCUAGAGCACGCCAUUUACUACAAGCAGAUAAACAAAACAGAUCAUAAACUCAAUAGUCAUGAAUUAUGCUUAUAUUCUUCAGGAAAACAUGUUGCCUUACUCUUCACUUAGUCUUGCAUUGUUGAACACUUGUGGGUGAUAUCUGCAUUACAAACAUGAUUUUUGUUCGACUAAUCUAAUUUAGGUGCACUAGCUCUAGAAAUAAAUGUGGUAGCAAAAUUAACACUCCUCACACCUGUCAACAUAGUUGAUAGAGUGGGAUACUCGAGCCAUUGGUUGAGUUCAAUGUGAAGGAAAUAUUUAUCUUGGGAAGCCCAAUUUGCUCAGUUUGAAGGAUAGGAAACCUCAAGAAAUGAAUAGGAGUUGGAGAUCUUUCUCCCGGGGCGGAGCCAAGAUUUUAGUUUAGUGUGAGCAAAAUUUUUUCGACGUCGAAUGUCGAGGUUUUGGUCAUGGAUUUACUGACGAUAAAAAAAUAAAAUAAUAGUACGACAAUACUAAAAACGACAUAAUUUAUAUAUUACACUUGUUCCUUGCGAGUUUUCAUACUCUGUGCGAACCGGCACUGCGACGCCGCGAUAGGGACGAAUUCUCUCACUCGCGGACAAAGAGUUGGAUUGAUUCAAAUGAAUAAAAUGGGUUUGGAUCAAUUGAAUUUUGAGGGAAUGGGUUUAAUAGGACUUCUCUCUCUAGCUGGACAGGGAAGUGGGUUAAAAAAAUAAUAAUAAUAAUAAAUAAAUUCUGCCCAAAUGUCCAGUGACACGCUUUGGCUCCACCCAUUCUUUCUCCUCUCUGUGUGCCUGUUUAUGUUCAGUGGUGGUGGAGAGGCAUGAGUCUAAAAUAGAGACUUUCAAUCUUUUGAGAGAGAAGGAGCUUUAAUUUCCAAAUUCCUUUGCCCAAUACUUAAUGUAACUGAAUUGGCACUGAACUGAUUCAAAUAGGGAGGCCCAGUUAAUUAGUUCAAAUGGCUGUUUCGGCUUUGUCCAUGUCACAAUUCAGUUUCAGUUCCGUUCAUUACUAUAGUUGUAAGCUAAUUAAAACACCCAAAUGCAUGCAUCUCCAAGACGAUUUCUGUUUACAUACUUUUGAAUAUGAAUAUUCUUACACUCUCCUAGAGGAAAGAUAUGUUGUAAUAAGAAUAUAGAGUGAGGUCAGUGUCAAAGUUUUCUAAACAGAUAGUUCAAAUAUCUUUAAUACUCUAUAUUUCCAAUCUCUCAAACAUUGUUUCUACUACAGUACUUAAAGAAAAGCUUCUUAUAUGAUUGGCUUACCUGGAAUAGGAACAACAUCGUCUCCUUGAUGAAGAACCCAUGCAAGCGCUAGUUGAGCAGGAGUGCAUCCAUGCUUCUUAGCCAAUGCUUCUACACGAAAGUAUAAGACUUUAUUCUUAUCAAAGUUCUCUCCCUGAAGUCUUGGGUGAUCUGCCUGAAGGUACAAAAAUGACACUACUUCUCAGCAACUAGAGAUUAUAAAAGCGAAGAAACUACAAAUUGAUCUUUGAUACUAAAGAAGAUAUUACACAUUGAAAAUUUUAAAAGACAUAGAUGCGUACACACCAAUGAGUUAUUUUCCAUGCUUCCCACAACAGCCUUCCCAGCAAAAAACCCUCGACCUAAGGGACUGUAUGGAACUAUUCCAAUCCCAAGUUCUCUAUGAUCCAUUUCCGAAAAGAAAAAAAGAAACACUACAUGAGAUCAUAAUCUUUAAAUAUGAAGGAUGACAAUUAGAAAAAUAACCGACACAAGCUUGAAUUGUAGUAGUGGAAAGAAGAUUAAUCAGAGUAUUGAAGCAUUGAUAGAAAAGAGGGAAAAUACUUAUUGUAUUCUAAUUAAAAGCACAACGUUCAAAACACUAACUGAGACGGUAGUUUUAACCAUUAGUACUGCAAAUUAAAUUCAGGAAGAAAAAUACAAAAACAUGGAAGCAUUAAAAUAGAAUACAGGAGCUCAACAUUGUAAUGUUAAUCCUAGGAGAAAAACGACAUCAAAUAAUUAUGUUGUGCAAAAUUAAUUUCAAAUUCAAACAUCAGCUCUUAAGUUCCUAUUUAGAUAGCAAGUUGCAAAAAUGUUAGCUGAAUAUAAUAUUUUAUGAGUGUUACAACAAAAAUGGGUUGUAAUGCUUCUUUGACUGCAAUAUAUACAAUGUUCUAAUUCUUGAUGGAUGUAGGUUUUGAUAAUUAAGCAACCUUUUAUUUUGAAAGAAUAAUGCUAUUGGCAGUGAAAACUAUCAGCAAUCGUCCUAUGUAGCGUAUACUUAGCAAUUUUUUAUUUGAUGUAUAAUUCAAAAAAUAACUACCAUAUAUAUAUAUAUAUAUCAAAUACCAAAUUGUGAAGUGUAUGCCACAUAGAGCGACUAUUAACAGUCUUCACUACGAAUAGCAUUACUCUUAAAAAAUAUAUAUCUAUAUAUACAUUUCUAAAUAUUGAUUUGACAUCAUUUCAAUCACAAAUUUUUCAAUAAAAUAAUAUUACACAUAAAUUCAAAAAAUUUUCUCAUUUUUUAACCACACAUUCUCUACUAAUCUACUAUUUUAGAAUAUAUUCUUUCAAAAUAAUGUGGCACAAACACUUGAAAUUUACUAAAAAUCUGAUUUUGAUUCCUACCAAACAAGUAUUAAAUAAAUGUAAACAAUGCGUAAUUAGAACGGUUUUGAAGUAAGAAGGGUUCACCAACCUCGCAUAUGAUAUAUCGGGACUAAGCAAGCCCAUUAAUGACCUACAAAGAUCACUGAGGAGGAUCAACAUCGGACUAUUACAAAUGACGAGCUAAUUAUUGUGUCAAGAAGCCCUUGCAUCAUCAUUGCUAUCAAGGAUCAAUCACAAUUUUUGACAAGACAAGACAAAUUACGAUCAACUCGAUCAUGGACAAUUAUAGUCUUCUAAUGCUUUUCUCCACCAAUCAAAAGGUAUCUCGCCAUAUUAUUGACACAACUCCUGAUGCAAAUAUUGUAGCUAGGGUAUUUCAAAUAGCCUAUAAAAGGGAAGGAAGAGAGAAAUAUAUAGAUAAAGAGAGAGAAGAAGAAAUAGAAAGAGAUAUGUUGGAGGCCCAUAUUGGCAACCACAAAAAGGUUAGGUAAGGUGACAAACGGGCUGCGCAUUUCACGAAUUCAACACUUCAUGGCUUGGUUCAUGAACCGUUCGAGUUCGUAUUGAAAAAAGUCAUGAAUCAACACAAGCUCAAUUUUUUGAAUUCAUGGAUCAGCUCAUUUUUUGACUGACUUUAUUUAUUUCUUAAAAAUGCUCUACCUCAUGGGAACCAGCCCAAAAAACGGUGAUGUUGAUGUUUAGCUUGGAUGUGAUCUUAGCCAAAAGCCCCAAAAAAAAAAAAUAAUAAUAAUAAUAAUGUCGCAGAGAAUGUUGAGUGCGUGAAAGAAGUCGCAAUUUAAAAAAAUGAAAAUGACAAAUACAGAGACGAGGAGAGAUAAAUAAAAAGUAAAAAGGAAAAAAGGUAGAAAGAAAAGAAGAAUAUAGGUUAAGACUCAGGGAGAUGGAUGUGUGGCCUAAAAGGUAAAAGCCGACAGAGGUAACGCCAGAGAGAGCAGCUGCGACUGCUGUGCUGGUGAAUGAUUUGCGAUCAAGGUUGCUGAGCCAGGAUGAGUAAUUUUCCUCUUAAGUUGCGAUAUGAUACCAUGUUAAGAUUUACAUUUGCUAUAUGUAUUGACAAUAUUAAUAAUGUUACAUAAAUAGUCAUAAUACAGUUCAAAUCCAAAACAAGAACAAUUAUGCUACAUUAAUCUUCGUGUAAAAUAUACAGAGACUGUGACAAAGAGUCGCCUUAGCUGUCUAAAACUUUAUCACCAACAGGAAGCCACCGAUAUAAUUUCAUGUUUGUAUAAACUCGAAGAACCUGUCAGUGUUAAUUUUUCAUGCUUCUACUUAAUUUAGUACCAUUAGGCAUGUACCUACAAGCUACAUGGCAUCUCCAGUCUGACAGAAUGGUAAUACAUCUAGAAAACAAUUUGAUUAUCAAGACAAUCAUAGCAUUUUAUUAAAGAGCCCAAAAAAAAGAGGUUCAAUUAUUCAAUAGCCAUGCGAUUUAUUACUUGCCAUCUGCAUGCACACAAAGUAGUGGAAGUUGGAUAACCAUAAAGGGAAUUAAAAGUAAGCAGAUGAAACUGCAUCAAAUAUCGACAAGACUUAAAAACUAGUUUUUUCAACAUAACACGCUGAUAAUUUUCCAUUUUGCUGGUUCAUUUUGGGAGUGGAGUCUUCACAAAUUCCCACGUGGUCUUAUGAAAAGCCUCAUUAGAACUUCUCGACCCCGCUACUUCAUUGAUGGGAACCGCAUCGGUAAUUUCUUUCAAAUCAUCUUUCGUAAGCUUCAAUUUAAGAGAAUCAAUAUUGGAGUGAAGAUUCUUAAUUUUAGUCGUACCUACAA